rnacentral:rRNA from 1 species
AUCAUUAAGCGGAGGAAAAGAAACUAACUAGGAUUGCCUUAGUAACGGCGAGUGAAGCGGCAACAGCCCACACUGAGAAUCGCUUCGGCGAAUUGUACAGUGAAGACGUCAACCUUACAGUGACAUGCUCGUGUAACUCACCUGGAACGGUGGACCAUAGAGGGUGCUAGUCCCGUGCCGCGAGCGUGAAGCUGAUAGGUGUCGUUCUAAGAGUCGGGUAGUUUGGGAUUGCUGCCCUAAUUGGGAGGUAGACUCCUCCUAAGGCUAAAUAUCGACGAGAGACCGAUAGUGGACAAGUACUGUGAAGGAAAGAUGAAAAGAACUUUGGAAAGAGAGUUAAAAGACUUGAAACCGUUAAGGAGGAAGCAGUGCGCCCGGUACAGCUAUUCACAAAACUUCUGUAAGCAGAGGAUGGAGUGAUGUGCGGAGUCAAUAGACUGGGAAAUCUACCGUAGCCUAAACCGUGUGUUGGGUGGAACGUAGAUUGAACAGGUAUUGGCGCUGGGUGCACUGGCCCGUCUUGAAACACGGACCAAGGAGUCCAGCUUAUGUGCAAGUAGAGGGGCUUAACCCCAGAUGCGCAACGAAAGUAAUCUCUGCUUCCACAGAGGCCGCAAUAGCGAGCUCAGCAGAUAAGCUGGGACCCGAAAGAUGGUGAACUAUGCUUGGGAAAGGCGAAGCCAGGGGAAACUCUGGUGGAGGCUUGUAGAGGUACUGACGUGCAAAUCGUUCUUCUGACCUGAGUAUAGGGGCGAAAGACUUAUCGAACCAUCUAGUAGCUGGUUCCCUCCGAAAUUUCCCUCAGGAUAGCUGGAGCGUAGCAGUUUUACCGGGUAAAGCGAAUGAUUAGAGGUUCGGGGGUUGAAACAACCUUCACCUAUUCUCAAACUUUAAAUUGGUAAGAUGAGAGAGUUACUUCAGUGAACUCUUUCUUGAAUGUAAGCUCCUAGUGGGCCAUUUUUGGUAAGCAGAACUGGCAACGAGGGUUCAACCUAAGGCAAGGUUGAGGCGACAAAUUGACUGCUCAUAGAUGGAAAGGUGUUGGUUCAUUUAGACAGUAGGACGGUGGCCAUGGAGUCGGAAUCCGCUAAGGACGUGUGUAACAACUCACCUACCGAAUGGACUAGCCCUGAAAAUGGAUGUCGCUAAGCAGUUAGCCGAUACCUUGCCGUCUAACUUUCAGUGGUUAGACGUGUAGGAGGGCGUGAGGGCCGCGCUGAAGCACGAGUGUGAACUUG